GAAUUCGAUUAACGCGAAGAACCUUACCUGGGCUUGAACCGCCGGUGACCAGCGGUGGAAACAUCGCCUUCCCGCAAGGGACACCGGUAGAGGUGCUGCAUGGCUGUCGUCAGCUCGUGCCGUGAGGUGUUGGGUUAAGUCCCGCAACGAGCGCAACCCUUACUCUUAGUUGCCACCCGCAAGGGGGAACUCUAAGAGGACUGCUCCGGAUAACGGAGAGGAAGGUGGGGAUGACGUCAAGUCAGCACGGCCUUUAUGUCCAGGGCUACACACGUGUUACAAUGCACGGUACAAACCGUCGCGAACCCGCGAGGGGGAGCUAAUCGGAGAAAACCGUGCUCAGUUCGGAUUGCAGUCUGCAACUCGACUGCAUGAAGCCGGAAUCGCUAGUAAUGGCGUAUCAGAACGACGCCGUGAAUACGUUCCCGGGCCUUGUCACACCGAAUCACUA
rnacentral:rRNA from 1 species